AGCGAACGCUGGCGGCAGGCCUAACACAUGCAAGUCGAACGAACCUUUCGGGGUUAGUGGCGGACGGGUGAGUAACACGUGGGAACGUGCCUUUAGGUUCGGAAUAACUCAGGGAAACUUGUGCUAAUACCGAAUGUGCCCUUCGGGGGAAAGAUUUAUCGCCUUUAGAGCGGCCCGCGUCUGAUUAGCUAGUUGGUUGAGGUAAUUGCGCACCAAGGCGACGAUCAGUAGCUGGUCUGAGAGGAUGAUCAGCCACAUUGGGGCUGAGACACGGCCCAAACUCCUGCGGGAGGCAGCAGUGGGGAAUCUUGCGCAAUGGGCGAAAGCCUGACGCAGCCAUGCCGCGUGAAUGAUGAAGGUCUUAGGAUUGUAAAAUUCUUUCACCGGGGACGAUAAUGACGGUACCCGGAGAAGAAGCCCCGGCUAACUUCGUG
rnacentral:rRNA from 1 species